UACGUAGGGCGCAAGCGUUGUCCGGAAUUAUUGGGCGUAAAGAGCUCGUAGGCGGCUUGUCACGUCGGGUGUGAAAGCCCGGGGCUUAACCCCGGGUCUGCAUUCGAUACGGGCUAGCUAGAGUGUGGUAGGGGAGAUCGGAAUUCCUGGUGUAGCGGUGAAAUGCGUAGAUAUCGGGAGGAACACCGGUGGCGAAGGCGGGUCUCUGGGCCGUAACUGACGCUGAGGCACGAAGGCCAGGGGAGCAAACGGG
rnacentral:rRNA from 1 species